GAGUUUGAUCGUGGCUCAGAGUGAACGCUGGCGAUAGGCCUAACACAUGCAAGUCGAACGGUAACAGGUCUUUCGGGAUGCUGACGAGUGGCGGACGGGUGAGGAAUACAUCGGAAUCUGCUCAGUCGUGGGGGAUAACGCAUGGAAACGUGCGCUAAUACCGCAUACGACCUUCGGGUGAAAGCAGGGGAAUCUUUAGGGAUCCUUGCGCGAUUGAAUGAGCCGAUGUCGGAUUAGCUAGUUGGUAGGGUAAAAGCCUACCAAGGCGACGAUCCGUAGCUGGUCUGAGAGGAUGAUCAGCCACACUGGGACUGAGACACGGCCCAGACUCCUGCGGGAGGCAGCAGUGGGGAAUAUUGGACAAUGGGGGCAACCCUGAUCCAGCCAUACCGCGUGGGUGAAGAAGGCCUUCUGGGUUGUAAAGCCCUUUUGUUGGGGAAGAAAAACAACGGGUUAAUACCCCGUUGGUAUGACGGUACCCAAAGAAUAAGCACCGGCUAACUUCGUGCCAGCAGCCGCGGUAAUACGAAGGGUGCAAGCGUUACUCGGAAUUACUGGGCGUAAAGGGUGCGUAGGUGGUUGCGCCAGUCUGUCGUGAAAGCCCUGGGCUUAACCUGGGAAUGGCGAUGGAAACUGUGCAACUAGAGUGUGACAGAGGGUGGUGGAAUUCCUGGUGUAGCAGUGAAAUGCGUAGAGAUCAGGAGGAACAUUCGUGGCGAAGGCGGCCACCUGGGUCAACACUGACACUGAGGCACGAAAGCGUGGGGAGCAAACAGGAUUAGAUACCCUGGUAGUCCACGCCCUAAACGAUGCGAACUGGAUGUUGGGUCCAACUUGGGAUUCAGUAUCGAAGCUAACGCGUUAAGUUCGCCGCCUGGGGAGUACGGUCGCAAGACUGAAACUCAAAGGAAUUGACGGGGGCCCGCACAAGCGGUGGAGUAUGUGGUUUAAUUCGAUGCAACGCGCAGAACCUUACCUGGCCUUAACAUGCACGGAACCUUU
rnacentral:rRNA from 1 species